rnacentral:rRNA from 1 species
GUGGGGAAUUUUGGACAAUGGGCGCAAGCCUGAUCCAGCAAUGCCGCGUGUGUGAAGAAGGCCUUCGGGUUGUAAAGCACUUUUGUCCGGAAAGAAAUGGCCUGGGUUAAUACCCCGGGUCGAUGACGGUACCGGAAGAAUAAGCACCGGCUAACUACGUGCCAGCAGCCGCGGUAAUACGUAGGGUGCGAGCGUUAAUCGGAAUUACUGGGCGUAAAGCGUGCGCAGGCGGCGAUGCAAGACAGAUGUGAAAUCCCCGGGCUCAACCUGGGAACUGCAUUUGUGACUGCAUGGCUAGAGUGCGUCAGAGGGGGGUGGAAUUCCGCGUGUAGCAGUGAAAUGCGUAGAGAUGCGGAGGAACACCGAUGGCGAAGGCAGCCCCCUGGGAUGACACUGACGCUCAUGCACGAAAGCCUGGGGAGCAAACAGGAUUAGAAACCCCUGUAGUCC